AGGACGAACGCUGGCGGCGUGCUUAACACAUGCAAGUCGAGCGGAAAGGCCCUUCGGGGUACUCGAGCGGCGAACGGGUGAGUAACACGUGGGCAACCUGCCCUUAGCUCUGGGAUAGCUCCGGGAAACCGGAAUUAAUACCGGAUAUGACCUAGGCCGACAUCGGCCGUGGUGGAAAGUUUUUCGGCUAGGGAUGGACUCGCGGCCUAUCAGCUAGUUGGUGGGGUAAUGGCCUACCAAGGCGACGACGGGUAGCCGGCCUGAGAGGGCGACCGGCCACACUGGGGACUGAGACACGGCCCAGACUCCUACGGGAGGCAGCAGUGGGGAAUCUUGCGCAAUGGGCGCAAGCCUGACGCAGCGACGCCGCGUGGGGGAUGAAGGCCUUCGGGUUGUAACCCCUUCAGCAGGGACGAAGCGAAAGUGACGGUACCUGCAGAAGAAGCGCCGGCUAACUACGUGCCAGCAGCCGC
rnacentral:rRNA from 1 species